GUGGGGAUAACCCCUUCCUUUUGCUCAGAAAGAAUAAGACAUGGAAGAAGCAUAUGAAGAAUAUCAUUUGCAGUUCUUUGGUAGGAUAUGAGGAAGGUAUCUCAUAGUGCUACAUUUAUGUAAUCAUACAGAUGUAUAGCAUUGGAAAAACAAUUUGUAAAAUUGUAGCUUGAGGGAAUUUCUAGCGCAAAAAAUGGUGUAGAGAGGAGUGGGGUGUGUAUUCAGGAGGGGGGAUAGAGAAAGAGGUUGCCAUUCAUGCAAGAAGAGGACAUAAAGAGAGGGGCCAACCACCUAGCUAUGCACCAAAAGCCUUCCACAUCAUCCUGAUGCUCUAGCUAUGCACCAAAAGGCUUCCACAUCAUCCUGAUGCUCUAGCUAUGCACCAAAAGCCUUUGGUCACCUUAUUUUCCAUCUAAUUAUGACCCUUGAUUUCCUAUAUUUGGUGCUCCUCUUUUUAUGAUGAGCUAUAAUCAUCAUGUAAUCAAAUUAAUUGAGUCAUCAUGUGAUAGGCAUGUAAUGGUUUUAGCAGUGCCCCACACCAAAGUGGGCAAACACUGUACUAACCAUCUAGCCUUUUCCCAACUAUUUGGGUCCGUUUCAUGGAUCUUGGGUCCUCAUUGACCAAGUAUUCUUAUAUAGGGCCAUCUCUGAUGUUAUUUUAAGCUUGUCCAUAUCUUUCCUUACAAUGUCUAUCAAUGCUAAUCUUAGGUCUUCCUCUUCUUUUACUGUAACCUUCAACUUAAAUUAAAAUACCCCUCAUUACAUGUAACCAAAAAAUUUAUCCCACCUUCUUGUAAUCUGCUCACAUAUGCUUAUACCAUUUUAGUUGAUUUUUCGUUGCUCUGUCCUUAAUUUGUGUAGCUCCUGCAAUUUUUUUUAAUUUAUUCUGUUCUCAAUCUAUCCUUGUUAGGUUUACCACAUAUUCAUCUUAACAUUCUCAUUUUUGCAUCACUCAACUUAUUUUCAUGAACUCUCUUAGUUGUGUAGUAUUUCAAGCCAUAUAACAUUGCAGGCAAGGUAUGCUGUACCGGUACUGGUAGGCGUAUCGGUCGCCUACCGGAUUGGUACAGUACCGGUUCGGACUAGUUUAUACUAGUAUUGAACCGGCUAACAGCGUGCUGUAACCACAGAGUGGCAAAUGCCACUCUGUAGCAUUAAAUGCCAUAGAGCGGCAAUGCCACUCUUUGGCAAAUUGGAUGCCAUAGAGUGGCACGCUGCGGAAUGCCAUAGAGUGGCAUCCAGUUUGCAGGCCGAAUCGGACGGAACCAGGGUUCCCUCAGGUACGCUUUUAUACUAGCUGGUUCAGGCUGGUAUGAGCUCUGUACCACUCGGUUCCGGCCUCUUUGGGGCCAGAACCGUUUUUUAUUGCGGAACCGGACCGGUCAGAGACCGGACUAGUCCGGUACUGACCGGUUCAACAUACCAUGAUUGUAGGUCUUUUGUUGUUCUAUAUAAUUUUUCUUCAAGUCUCCAUGGUGUGCAUCAAUCACAACCCUUCAAGACUCCCCAGUUAGAACACAUGUUAAGGAUCCCAGCAUAUUUACUUUUAGUUUGAGAUGCAAUGAACUCCUUGUAAAUAUACUCUAAUAGCAUGUGGGCCAUCUAAACAAUAUGAUAUGCAUUUGGCAAGCAUUUAACUUGACCAAUUUGGUCUCAUGCAAGGAAGAUCAAGUAAUGUGAGGAUGACGUCAAGUCAUCAUGCCCCUUAUGCCGAGGAAGUUAGGAACGCUAGAUAUAGUUUUCAUUAACACGGAGGAAGCAUGUUGGUACCAACAAGUGAGUUGGUAAAGUCACUUGGGCAUAGUGUCCAAUGACCUUGGUUCAAAUCUGCCUGCACCCAAGUGGGUAAGUGGGGAUAACCCCUUCCUUUUGCUCAGAAAGAAUAAGACAUGGAAGAAGCAUAUGAAGAAUAUCAUUUGCAGUUCUUUUGGUAGGAUAUGAGGAAGGUAUCUCAUAGUGCUACAUUUAUGUAAUCAUACAGAUGUAUAGCAUUGGAAAAACAAUUUGUAAAAUUGUAGCUUGAGGGAAUUUCUAGCACGAAAAAUGGUGAAGAGAGGAGUGGGGUGUGUAUUCAGGAGGGGGGAUAGAGAAAGAGGGUGCCAUUCAUGCAAGAAGAGGACAUAAAGAGAGGGGCCAACCACCUAGCUAUGCACCAAAAGCCUUCCGCAUCAUCCUGAUGCUCUAGCUAUGCACCAAAAGCCUUUGGUCACCUUAUUUUCCAUCUAAUUAUGACCCUUGAUUUCCUAUAUUUGGUGCUCCUCUUUUUAUGAUGAGCUAUAGUCAUCAUGUAAUCAAAUUAAUUGAGUCAUCAUGUGAUAGGCAUGUAAUGGUUUUAGCAGUGCCCCACACCAAAGUGGGCAAACACUGUAACUAACCAUCUAGCCUUUUCCCAACUAUUUGGGUCAGUUUCAUGGAUCUUGGGUCUUCAUUGACUAAGUAUUCUUAUAUAGGGCCAUCUCUGAUGUUAUUUUAAGCUUGUCCAUUUCUUUCCUCACAAUGUCUAUCAAUGCUAAUCUUAGGGUCUUCCCCUUCUUUUACUGUAACCUUCAACUUAAAUUAAAACACCCCUCAUUACAUGUAACCAAAAAAAGUAUCCCACCUUCUUGUAAUCUGCUCACAUAUGCUUAUACCAUUUUAGUUGAUUUUUCGUUGCUCUGUCCUUAAUUUGUGUAGCUCCUGCAUUUUUUUUUAAUUUAUUCUCUUCUCAAUCUAUCCUUGUUAGGUUUACCACACAUUCAUCUCAACAUUCUCAUUUUUGCAUCACUCAACUUAUUUUCAUGAACUCUCUUAGUUGUGUAGUAUUUCAAGCCAUAUAACAUUGCAGGCAAGGUAUGCUGUACCGGUACCGGUAGGCGUAUCGGUCGCCUACCGGAUUGGUACAAGACUGGUUCAGACUAGUUUAUACUGGUAUUGAACUGGCUAACAGCGUGCUGUAGCCACAGAGUGGCAAAUGCCACUCUAUAGCAUUAAAUGCCAUAGAGCGGCAAUGCCACUCUUUGGCAAAUUGGAUGCCACAGAGUGGCGCGCUGUGGAAUGCCACAGAGUGGCAUCCGGUUCGCAGGCUGAAUCGGACGGAGCCAGGGUUCCGUCCGGUACGCUUUUAUAUUGGCUGGUUCAGGCCGGUACGGGCUCUGUACCACUCGGUUCCUGCCUCAUUGGGGCCAGAACCGUUUUUCAUUGCGGAACCGGACCGGUUAGAGACCGGACUAGUCCGGUACGGACCGGUUCAACAUACCAUGAUUGUAGGUCUUUUGUUGUUCUAUAUAAUUUUUCUUUAAGUCUCCAUGGUGUGCAUCAAUCACAUAACCCUCCAAAAAUGCUGAAACUCAUGAAAUAAAUGUAUGAUAAACAAUCUGAUAGAUGCACCAGAAGCCUAGAAGUACUUUUGGACAAAUUACAAAUUGAUCAACAUUCAACUCCUAAAACAGGAAGUUGUUCUCAUAUGAUGAAAUAUUAGAAAAAUGAUACUAUGUAACUGCACCAAAUAUAUUGAUCAUAACUAAAGGAGUUGGAUAAUGAAUUUGAUCUACUGAUGAACAUGGUUAAUUCGUUGGUCUAAAUGGUUUUGUGGUGCAAGAAAGCUACAUCAGAAUAUAUUAGAAUAGUUAUUGCAGAUCUUUUAAAAUCUUAAUCAAUCUUCCUUUGGGUGAUUGAUGACUGUUUGAAGUAGUAUUAUAUCUGCAGUUACCUGGUGCCCCCUAUUUUUACUUUCGAGACAUACAUCAUGAUGUAGGAUAAUGAUAAGACCUACUAGGUUUGAAUCUACACUUUUGGAUUUUAGGUUCAACCUAAGGGUUUAUUGCUGGUGUAGAUAAAUUUCUAGGAACAUAAGGAUGCUGAAAUCAGGUUUUAGGACAUGAGUGAAGAAACUUAUUGCUUCAAUGGUUAGAGUUUUCAGUCAAAAAGCAUAUAAGCUAUCUUGGGAAUAAAAGGAUGAUCUAGGGCAGAUUACAAUGCGGAAUCUAUGAAAGAAAGAUUGAGAAAAAAGAAGGAAAACAAUUGAAGAGAAGGUGAUGAGGAAAUGUGGAUCCAAUAGGAAACCUCUACAACUCUUUUUUCUUUUUUUGGGAAUUCUUAGUAGUGCGGAUCAUGGUUGAUUGUGUGGAUUCUCAAUUUAAAUUGGCCAUCAUACAAUUUGUCAGUAGGACUCUUGAUCAAAUCAUCUUGGUGAUUCAAGCUAAACACAAACACAUAUCCCCUGGGUGGCCUCCCCACUUGCAAAAAAAAAAGAAAAAAGAAAAAAAAAGAAACACUCACCUUCUCCCCUUGCAUACAUAUCCAAUUUGCUUGUCUUUAGCAUUGGUUUGAAUUUGGUGUGCUCUGUACACUUUAUUGCUUGUGAUUGAUGAUUGAUUGAAGCUGUAAAGCUUUUUCUUUGCACUUGUGGUCUGCAUGAUUGUAGAACUUUGCUUUUUUUUCAUUGGAAUUUGACUAUAUAUAGGAUGAGGUAAUAAUGCACCUAAUGUGUAAAGAAAGGGUUUUACACCCACCGCCAAAUUCAAUGUUAAUGGUGAAAAAACAAAAAUCUGAUCCAUUGGAUGUGAUCUAAAAGGCCUUUUAUAAAAAAAUUAUAUAUUUUCUAGACGUCUAGCAUCCCAAAAUCAAUACACCGUAUCACCCCAUGAUAACUAUAUAUUUGAGGCAAUUUGAUGCAUAGAACAAGGGCUGCCAUUCUCCAAAUAUGAUUUUUUGUACAUGGAUAUUUUUUAGGUUUCUAACUCAUGUUCAAUAGUUUAUAUUUUCGUUUUUAACCAGUAAUGUUGAAUUUGCUGGUGGAUCUAAAGUCUCCUCCUUACACCUCGUGGGUACUACAUACGACGACCUGUGUGGAUGUGUGUUUAGUCCCACAUUGGUUGUGCAUUGGGAAGAUCUUGGAUCAAGGUUCGCCGUACCAGAUCCGGUAGGCGUACUGGUCACCUAUUGGACCGGUACGGUUCCGGUUCGUACCGGAACCGGCCAGUAUAAACCGGCCAGCUCUUCCCCGCUGGAGCCGGGAAAGAAGAAGAGAACGAGAGACAGCACGGGGAAGAGAGGGAGGAGACCUGUGGCCGCCAUUGGAGAGCGGCGGAGGCCGGGGGGCGGGAGAACCCGUGGUCGCACGGCGGAGGCCCCCCCCCCCCGCCGCGAGCGUGGCGGAGGCCACAGGUCUCCUCCCUCCCUCUCUUCCCCGCGUUCUCUCUCAUUCUCUUCGUCUUCUUCAUCUUCGGCACAGAAUCGGCCCGUAUCGCUUUCUACUGCUCUGGCAUACUGGUUACAGGCCGGACAGGUCCGAACCGGCCGGUACGGGCUGGUUCGUCAGACUUUGUCUUGGAUAUUAUAUAGGCCAAAAAACCUAAAUAACAACUUUUGGCUAGCCUUUUUGGACUAGGUUCUGGGUCGUUACAGAAGGUAUCAGAGCAGACCCAGCCCACAGCUUAUGUGGACUAGGGGAGAUGUAGCACGGUCCUUUUUAGGGCUAACCACGGGUAGAUUGUGGUGAUUGUGAUUGGAUUAGGACCUUUAGCCUUAAGAGGACACCAAUGCUUCAAGGAAGGAUGUGUGAGGAUCCAUAUGGGCAUCUUUAGUCCCACAUUGGUUGUGCACUAGAAAGAUAUUGGCCAUGUUGGGCGAGGUUUUGAGUUGUUACACUAUAACUACACCCCUAGUUUUUAGAAAUGGGUCUGGUUCAGGCAUGGUGAAGUGGAUGGUCUCUUAAAAAAAAACUAAGAAAACACUUAGGAAGCAGGUGCGGGGAUGAACUUCCAGCAAAUUCGGAAGCAAGUGUGCCACCCUAGUAGAAAAUUUCUUCUAUCUAAGACUGCAUGCCCAUAUUUAUUUUAUAUGGAGUAGGUAACAACAAAAAUGAUAUAAUUAGAACUCCAAAAGUUUGCUCUUAUUUGAACUAAAGGGAUGGUAAUUUCUUUUAAUUUCAUGAUGAUUUACCUUCCAAGUUUUAGCAUGUUGCUUGUUCUUAUAUUUAGCAAUUCACAUAUUUGUGACUAGAUUUGUAACUUUGCCAUUUAUUAUUAUUUCAGAUUCAUUGUUUCACUUGGUUUUUGUGAUGCAUUGAUGCUCAAACCUGGUUUACAGUUUCAUCAUCAGUUGAAAAAUCCUUGUUGACUGCCUGUAGGUUUUUAGCUAUGACGGUAUUCAUUCCCCAGAUUGCUUGGCUGUCACAGCAGCAGGCAUAGCAGUGUAAGUUUACAUAAAGGCUUCUAUAUCCUAUUAUUUAUCUUGUUCUUACUAAGUUUAAUGCUUUUACCCUGCAUCUUCAACUCUGGCCAUGAAAUUUAUUUCAUAUAUCCUUAUGCUUGAUUAUUGCUUAAUUUCAGAGCUCUCUCGGAAGUGCCAAAUACCAAAAUAGUUGCUGGAGUUAGAAUUGGCCUCGUUGGUGAUCAGUUCAUUGUCAAUCCAACUACCAAAGAGAUGGAGGAGUCAGAGUUGGACUUGAUACUGGCAGGGACUGAUAAUGCUAUAUUGAUGAUAGAGGUCUACUCUUGGUUGCUCUUAAUCUACUGAAGUUACAUGAUUUCUGAUGUCUUUACCACCUGUUGUAUGAGUCUGAUACUGAAAAUGGAGCCAUUUGUUACUUUUUUCUGGAGGAAUAUUUGCGGGCAUCUAUUUUUUCGAUAGCAGGAUGUCUGAAGAGGCUUCUAUAGCAAUUUGAAUUCUAUACAAUUAUCUAGAAAGGACACUCAUAUCCAAAGUUUAAACUCUCGUGGGAUGGGGGUGUUCUGGUUUCUCCAUGGAAUAGGAUGCCCCGUUGUUUCGCCCUGUCCCGGCAGUGGUCCUGGUCAUGUAUCCUUGUAGAUAUCCCCCAUCUCUCUCUCCUUCUUCUUUCUUUUCUUUUUUCUUUUUUCUUCGUUCUUUCCUUCCUUCCUUCCUUUCUUUUUCUUGUUCCUUUUUUCUCUCUUUCUUAUCCCUUCCUUUAUUUCUUUUUUUCUUUUCUUCUUCUUUCUCUAUCCUUUCUAAUUCUUUCCUUCCUUUCUUUUUCUUCUCCCUUCCUUUCUUUCUUUACCUUUUCUUCUUCUUCUUUCUUUUCACUUUUUCCUUUUCUUCAUAUUUCCUUCCUCUUUUUCUUUCCUCUUUCUUCUUUUCUUCCCACAUAGAUGAGUUUCGUAGUCCUAACCCCAUCCCGGUCCUGUUUUCUCACAGAAAUGGGACAGGAUGGCUGGGACGUCCCCCAUCCUGGCGGGACUUAAAACCUUGCUCAUAUCAACACUAGCAAACACAUCAAAAAUGAGAAUUUAAGUACAACAGGCCAUGCUUGUGCCAUCACUGGUUGGUACGGUAUGUGAUUUGUACCGUAUCAUAAUCUGUCAAUAACAACAUGUCAAAAUGAGAAUUAUAGUACCAGAGGCUGUGCUUGUUCUGGUCACUGAUUGGUGUGGUAUGUGGGUUGUACCACGCUGUGUUGUGUCAAACCGUGCUGGUCACAUGCUUGGGGUUUUGUAAAACAAAAACGAUCCUUGUUGCUCUGAAGCGAUCUGUGCCAGCAUAGAUUGGUGAGUGCUGAACGGUCACAGAUAGGGACAGAUUGACAAGUACUGGGACUUGGUCCUUUAUUGUGUCGAUACUCGAUACCUUGUUGGCAUGGUAGGUGCUGUAUUAGCAUUGACUCGCUCAGUAUGAUAAUUUAAACAAUGAUUGCAAACUGUCCAUAUGGAACUUUUUUUGUUUGGGUUUAUAUUAAAAUCAAAUUAUAUAAACAAAUUUAUGAUUUUGUUUGGAUCUACUAAGAGAAAAAUUAUAUACCUAUAUCUAUUGUAAUGAUAUAGUACAUAUAUUCCAAUCACUACUUAUUCUUUCUCAUAGUUUCCAACAGUAAAAGAUACAUGGCUAGGAAUUAAAAUGAUAUCAUCUGACCCCAUGAUGCUGGCAUUUGCUGCAGAGUAAAAAGUAUGAUAUUUCUUAGAGUUUAUAAGGAAAGAAAAUGAAGGAAAAUGUUCACCAAAAUGUAAGUUUAGCUGUGUCUGUAAUUUAUAUUGCUGAUUGCACUCAGGAGAACAGGUGAAUUUUACCCUCAAGUCAACUAAGAUGAUUAAAACUGAGAUAUUGAUCACAUAAGCUGAAUUAACAAUGAUUUCUGUACCUAAAGUUUUUGUAAGGAUUUUACUAAAGGCACUGAUUUAUAACAUCUACUUUUUAGGGUCACGGAGUACCAAACUGCAACAGGUUACUGCAGAUGAGGAAGUUCUGUAGAUGCGAAAGGAUCUGAUGUUAGGACUGGAAGAAAACCUAUAGGGGUAUAACAGAUAAUAGCAACAGUAAGUCAAUUUGGUUCAAAAGCUCAUUAGUGAUAUCUUGGGAAUAAGGUAAUUGCUAGAUAAAUUAAGAAGUAUCUUGAUACUGAUUUACACCUUUUUUGUCGGAACGGGUAAAACACACUAGAUUUUGCUGAGAAAAAUGUGAAGUGUCAGAAAAUGUAGACAAUGUAAGGUAUAACUUCAGAAACCAUGUUUGACUGAGUCUACAUAUGCCAAGUUAAAAAAGAUCAAAAGCACCAAAAUAAGAAGUUAAAUAAUAAAGAAGCAACAUGUCAGGUCUGAUUGGGAAUCGUUAUGGUGAAAAACCAAAAGUUCUGAUGAAACCAGCGUCCACGAGCUACAACAAGCUAUCAGAAGGUUUCUCUACUGCCAAUAGAGCCACUUAUUAUACCACAAGCUUCCUGAUCUCGAAAUGUUCCUCCCUUGAUCCCUCAACUUCCCACACAUAGUGGAUGCUAUGUGACUCUUGUUGCUGGUUCUAUCCUUGUGUUUUGCAAUGGCCCUUGUUGUAUCUGCUAUACCCGUGCUACAUGCGAUUUGUAGACCCUAAGUCCCCAAACUUGUCAAGGUCAAUCCAAAAUAUGGAAAAUUUUAUUAAAGAAUGGAUAGGGGAUAUUUCCAAACUUUUCACCAGUGUUUUAAAAAGUGGAAGCUGUAUGCAUUUGGUCAGGUCACUGCAUAGCGCAUAUCGAGUAUGCGGGGAACAUAUACAGUUGUACAUGUGGUUCACAUUUUUUACAUGCUUAACAAUAAAUAAAAUAUAUUUAUAUACAUCAUUUUUUCAUUUUUACAUACUUAAAAAAAAGUAUAUUUAUAUACAUAUAUAUAAAUGGUUAAAACAGUAGAAGUAAAUCAGAAAGAUUCAGAAAAGAAUAAUAAGGAAUUAAGGAUUAACAAUUGACAUUCAGACUUAUUUGAGACUUUUGAGUGUGUAUUCUAACAUAACGUGACAAAUUAACCUGAUAAAAUGACAAUAUCAUCCAAUGAAGUAUGGACCAUUCUUGAACAUGCAAGAAAGAGUAAGCUUCAUGUUGCAACAAAGUAUUGUUAAAAGUCUAUAAGAAAGUUUGAACUUUGAAGUACCACUUAAAACAGUGUCUUUACAAGUAGGAGCUUUUAAUAAACAAGCGUGUUGUGUUUACAAGAAUGGAUAGGGGAUACUUCCAAACCCUUCAUAAGUAGGAGCUUUUAAUAAGCAAGUGUGCGUGUUUUAUCCCUAUGUGUCCAAGUACUAGUUGGGACAACCAUGAAGUUCCCACCAUUAUUUGUCAUGGUUUUCUUUGCAAGAAUAAAAGUAUGCCUGAUAUCGUGCAUGAUUCGCUGAAUUACUAUCAGACCAUCUUGUAUCAGAAUCACUUGAAGAAAAAAAUUCCAUCUCCCCCUUCCUAUAAGUAAAUAAUAUGUAGAUCUGUUCGGAUGCCUAUUUUGUUGCUGUGUCCAUAUUUGUUUGUUGUCCUGAAUGUUUUCAAAGAUUGGAGAGCUGAACUUUGCCAACAAUGAGUUCAGCUCUCCAUGUUUGAUGGUGGUGACAAGCAUUUGCUUUUUGUAAAGAUUCAUUAGGAUGUAGAUAUUAAAAUAAACUUGAUAAAUGUCAAAUUUCUUAUUUUUUUAGUUAAAUGGGCAUCUAGGAUGAGAAACAUGUGUAUUGAAAGGCCUUACAAGAAUUAAUCUUUUAUAUUUUCUGUUAUACAAUAUUUAAAUGUUUAGUUAGAAUUAUAUUUUGUCCUACUAUCCCCAUGUCUCCAUUUUAUGCUCUUGUCAAGUUCAGAUACUUGGAUAUAUGUCCCAGUCCGAUUCUCAUGUUUGUAUCUUGAGUGUCGGGACAGGAUUAUUAGUAACUUGUAGUAACCUUUCCACUGGCAAGAAUGAUUGGGAAAUGGGGAUCUUAAAAUUGGCCUUAAGUAGUUGGGACAAGGCUUCAUGGCUAUGGUUAUGGUUGAUUGAGCUUUAUCGACAGUUGUUAUGAAGGUUAAAUGUGGUUUUGCACUUCUUGUUUCUCAAGUAUGUGUUCAUCAUCUAUUGCUAAAAUUUAUUUCAUUUUCUUUUGCCACUUGUUUCCCUGGUCGUGAGUAUCCUCUAGCAUCUUUCUUCUUGCCUUGUAUUACGUAAAGUAUACGAUGAAUAAUUUCUCAAAGUGGUACCAUAUAUUUUCACAUUUGGACAUUUGCAUUUAAUGUUUAGUCAUUUCCCUACCACCUUCGAUUUGUGUUUUGCUGACUAUUUUCAAACUUUAUAUCUACUUGAUGGAUGGCUAGCUGUUGCUGUGGUUCUUAAAGGAAGAAUGCUAAUAACAAAAAGGUGUGAGUUAGCAAAUGGCAUUGUGGAUAACAUUGCUUAAUAUGUAAUGCAACACAAGUAUAUUCUUUGAUAGAAUUUAGGUUUCUGCGUAAAUACCUUAAGAUAUACUAUUUCGAAGUUUAUUUGGAAGGUGGUAUAAUUUAGCUUAUGUUCCCCCUAUUUUCAUGCAUAUUUUCUAACUGCAACCAAGAUUUUAAAUACUAGUGGGACGGGACACCAUCUCAAGUCUUGGGAUAGGAUGAGUUGGGAAUGGACCAGGAUGGGAUAGGACAUCCACCGCUCCGAGUGUUGACAUGCGGCGAGUCCUGUCAAAACUGAGAUGGUCCUGUCCCACGAUAUUCAGAAUCUUGCUCGCAAGUUGCAACUUUCUUCUUCUAUGGGUUUUACAAGUGCAUUCUCUCUGUUACUUCUUGAUGGAGGAGAUAUUAUGCAAUAAAUAGAUAACAUGCUCAUUUCAGGCUUUGCAACAUUUUUUUUUCUUUUAGAUGUUGACGAAAUGAUUAACAAUCUUUUGAAGAAGCUGUAAAAGUGUAUCUUGUUUCUUUGCAGGGCUACUGUAACUUUCUCACAGAGGAGAGGUUGCUAAAAGCUGUGGAAAUUGGGCAGGUAUCCUUAUGUUUAUUGUGUUAAGCCGUAGAAAGGUUUAUGCUCUGAAGCUGAUAAGCUGCAAAUGUAUGUAGUACUCUUACUGUAAUAUUAGUUCUAGGAGGAUUUCUUUUCCUCCCAUGAUUGCAUACUAUAAUGCAUUAGUUGGCAAUUACUAUUGGCUACCUAGAAUACAUGUCUUGUAUAAUCUUUUUUGACAACAGGUGAUUUUGUUAUUGAAAAUUUUAUGUUUGUUUGCAUUAUCUUUUGCCUAACUUUUUCUAUUUUUUAUCUUAUUUGGAUGAUUUUGCUUGAUGCCUAGUCUAUGAUCGAAAUACACUAAAUCUCUGAUUUUUAGUGAAGCAUGACCAUGGACUAAUGUACUGGUUGGCAAAAUCAGCACAACAUGGUAUAUGCCAUGCUGAUGCCUUGCUGGCAUGGUUCUGGCCAGUGUGUGCCCAGCUUUGCAAUGGCAUGGCAUUGUUACUGCAUGUACUGUGCCAGUGCAAGGGCAGCAGAGCACUGGCACAUGAUAUUUUGAUCCUUGAGCGUGAAAUGCAAAUUGUCAAAUUUUUGGUAUAAGUUUUUUAUUUUAUUUUUUUUGGCUUCCAGACCCUGCAGUAAUGUAUCCAACAAUAUUUCACAUGGUAACUAGCAGUUAGCAAACAUGUAAUGUGACAGCUCUACAUCCUGAAUAUAUGGUUUUCUUGUGUGAAUAAUGAUGUAUAUAUGUUUUCUUUUGUGUGAAUAAUGAUCUAUAUAGUUGGAUUACGUGCCCAUCCUGAUAAACUUUAUAAUAUCUGUAGAGUUAUUUUAAUCUUGGCUCCUUUGUAUUGAGGUUUUGCAUUAUAGGGAUCAUUUACAACUCUAAUAUUUACAUGAAUUUAUUGUGAAAUCGUUCCAUUUUUUUUUAUAUGUUAAUGAGUUUAUAGACACUAUGUAUAGAUUUUAAAUUGCUAUGAUGUCAAAGUCGGCUUUAACCGAGGCUAUUGAAUAAUGACCCUAUCCAAUUACCUAAACUAUUAAUCAGACUGAACCUGAGAUGGGACCUGAUUUGGUAAAAACCUGGCUUGAUGCAAAACAUUUCCCUCAUGUCCUAUUGUUAUCCUAAUACUAACCCCCAUUUCCCUCAUCUUUUCCAAAUCUUACCUUCAGCUGUCUAUUUCCACUCCAACUUGUGCCACCCACCUUUUGCCCUGCUAUGGCUCAAUUCUGGCAAUGAUGCAGCAUCAACCCUCUCUUCUCUCACCCUACCCCUGCCCCUGCCUUAUCUAUGUACCUCAGCCCCAGCCCUAGUGUCUCCCUUCCCUAUCCUCAACCUAAAUCUACUGUUCCCUUCUGUUCUCACUCCAUCACCCUCCUCUAUAAUAGGUCAUAUCAGAAUAGGUUUUCAGAUCAGAUGUCCAAUCCUUAAUAAGUCUGAAUUUUAUGCGUUGUCAUGCUGGUCCAUUGGACAAUUGGAUCAGAGUUCUCUCUUGGAUCAGAUCCGGAGCAACCCUGAACUGAUCUUAUCAAACACCUUUACAGAAACAAUCAAACAAAGAUAAAUUUAAUUGAUCUGUGAACUCCAUUUUGUCCUUCUUCAUUGCUUGUGGACAUAAUUCUAAGUUUCGUACCAUAUUGGAUUGUUGAAUUGUCCACUAGUUAGUUUGAAAGUUAUGCUUUUUAAAAUAUAUGAUUCAGUUGAAAUCUAUUACAGUCUAAUGUAAAUUGUUUGGGUUUCUUUCUUUCUUUUUAUUUAUAAAUAAAGCAAUCAAGAUUCAGUUGAAAUCUUUUUCACAAUAUUGUUUAUGCUAUGAUCAUAUUUCUUAUUUUCUUCCAAUACCAGGCUGCAGUAAGAGAUAUAUGCAAUGAGGUGGAGGCUUUAGUCAAGAAGUGUGGAAAACUGAAAAUGAUUGAAGCUAUCAAGUUACCUCCUCUCGAGCUCUAUAGGCAUGUUGAAGUAUGAACAUAUGUCGUUUUUCAUUUGAUUGAUAGUAUAAGUUUUCAUGUAGUUAUAGUCCAUUUUAUCUUUCUUUUUAAAAUUAAUUUGCCUCUUUACUGUUAUUUAUGGCCAUUAUAUAACACUAUUUCUUAGAGCAACCUCUGUUGGAGGAGUACGGAGCUACUGUCUAACAGAUUAGUGAUGUAAGCACUGAAUACAUAAGUACAUAUUUAGCAUUGGAAGGCUUUUGCAAUUGACUCCAAUCUUUGUUAUUUCAGAUGCAACGAUUGUUUUAGUGAGCAAGCUAGCAUACUUUGGAUAAUGAUUUCUUUCUCUUGUCCAAUUAUCUACUAAGCACUAGCUGGAUAAUUGUCACUAGUUGUCCAUGAAACAAAUUUGGAAAAGUCAUAUUAAUUUAAAAGCCAGCUCUUGUUAUGCUUUCAAUUUCUUUGAACAUUAAUUAAUAUUAUUCAAAAUAACAUGAGCGUAUGCUAGGGACAAAUUGCUAAAUUUAGGCACUUGAGAGGAGCAAGAUAUCAACAUCUGUGAAUAUAGUAAUACGUUGUAUAUCUUGUCAGUGGUAUAUUAGUAUGUUCUUUACUUUAAGCUUGAAGUCCGGAAAUUAACCGUCUCUUAUUUUCAUUUCUAGUGGCAUGCUGUGGUAGUUUACUUCCUUUAUUCUUCAUGUUAUUGCAUUAUCUGAUUUCUUCUCUUGUAUACAUUUCAUUAUAUUGUAAGAAUUUGAGAUCUAAACAUGUUUCAACCUCAUGAUAUAAUUCUUUGCUUUGAGACGCGAUAGUUCGGGUAAUACUAAUUGCGUUAACAAAUACAAUAGCAUGGUCUGCCGAACCGAUCGGAGCCGGUAGGUUCAGGCUGUACCGAACCAGUGCCGAUAGCUAUCGGUAUGGUUCGACUGUGAAAACCGGUACCAAACCGAAACCAGGGCGACCGGCAUCCGUAGAAGUAGGGAAGAAGAGGAGGAAGAAGAGGAAGAAAGAAGAGAAGAAGCGGGGAAGAAGAGGAAGAAAGAAGAGAAGAAAAAGGGGGGAAGAAGAGAAGACAAGUACCAAAAAAAGGAGGACCUCUCUUCCUUCCUUGCUCGCAGGAGAAUGGGGGGAGCCGGAAAAGAGAGAAGAGAGGAGAGAGGGGAAGGAGGGCUUGGGAAGAAGGGGAGGAAAAAAAUAGAGGGAAGAAAAACCCCGCGCGGGGCCGAGUGGGGAACCGCGAGCCCACUCGCGCCUGCUCGUAGGGAACCGUGCCUGCACGUGGUUUCCUGCGCUGCCUCAAUUCCCCAUGCGGGCUCGCCGCUCGGGGCAGCGGGCCCACGCGGGCUGCCCUGUGUGGGCUUUAAAUGCCGCACAAAGUGGCAUUUAAUGCCCCUCUGUGGUAACGCGCGGGCGUCCCCGCGUUGGACGCGUGUCUUUUUUCUAUCUCGACCGGUUUGGUACCGGUACCGUACGGAAACCGGUCUUCACUGGUACACCAGUACUAUCAGUAUCGCAGACCUUGCACUCUAGCAAAAAGUGAAAUUUUUUUGAAUACAAACAUAACUAGUCUUGGUCUGCAAGGUUAGCGGCCUCAGUAUUGGAAUGCAUACCAGUAGGAGGUAGGUACGGUAAGGUAUCAAAAGUAUAUAUUUUUAUUUUUGUUUUCAAGGAUUUUAAUCUUUCCUUUUAGUUUUGAGUGGAUAAUAGGUUUUGUGGUUUCAUUUUUUAUGUUUAAAUGUAUUAUACUUUAAUUUUUUAUGUUACAUACUAAGAAUGGUAUGAUUGAAUAAUAUAUGUUAAUUAACUAAGUGUAACAUUGAAAAUAUAGAAUAUUUAAAUUAAAAAAUGGAAGUACAAUAUACUUGUAUCUGUUCAACUUCAAGUUGAGUGUCGUUGUCUCUCAUAGAUCCUAGGUCACGCUUGUAGUCGGUCCCUAGGACUUGACUCCAGCUUUGUAUUAUGUCCACCCAGUAUCUUAGCAGUCUCAUACCAUACUGUCCCUCGGGACGCCUCGUCGGCUCAUACCGUACUGCAUACCAAUACUAUAAUAGGGUACCAACACUGUAAUAGGGUGGUAACGGUGUGGGGUCCGAUAUUGAGACAACGAACCUUGCUUAGAAUAUUUAGAAUCAUUUAUAAGCUUAAAAUUGUCUGGGAGAUCAGAAAUACUAAGUAAGUCAUAACUAAUUUUAAAGGCAGAAAGGUACUUACCUCAUGAUGCAAAACAAACCAUGUACUUCUUGUCUUGAUUUAUUUCAAUAUCAUCAUCAUUGUCUUCUUCUUCUACCCCUACUCUUCCUCUAGCCAAGGUAGGCCGGUCAAAAGUAGGGCCCACUAUGUUAAUUCACUUACCGAGGUUGGUUCCUUAAGUAGGUGGGCCCCACCUUAGGCUAGUUGCAAGUAGGUCGGUCAUGAAGGUUGGGUAAGGAGGCCCAAUAAUUAGGUGACUCAGUAGGCAGAUUAAAAGAGAGAUAGAUAGCCAGAUGCUUAUUUACAUGUAAUAUCAUUUAAUUAAAUAUUACUUGAGGCAUGGUGCCUAUGUCAUACUAAAAUGCUGAAGUCAAUUGACCAUUAGGACUGUCAAUCAAGCAAGCUAUUUUUGAGCUUGCUUGUGUUUACCUUGGCUUCUACUUGCUCUAUUAGUAAACAAGCUGGGCUAGAGCUCGGUUUAACUAAUUCGUAAAUACCAUUGCAUUGUUUUAGUCAUUAUUUUCUAUUUAAAAUUCUUUUGAUAUUUAUUUUGGCAAUGUAAUUUGUCUAAAAUAGAAUGCAUUUCAAUUAUAACUUUAAGAUAUAAUGUGGAUGGCUAGCUUAAAGUAUAGGAAUGAAUGUUUUGGGAGACCUCAAGCUCUCACGAGAUCUCUUAAAUGAGUUGUUCAUAAACAGCUUAUGUUCUGCUCAAAAUUAAAUGGCUUGCUCGAUUUCAAAACAAGGUGAAAUUGAAUUCGUGUGGUUUGCUUGAGCUCAGUUUGUUUAUCAGCUAGCGACCAUCACUUGUUCUUAUAUUUGAACUUUUGAAGUAUUCAAUCUUUGGUUCUUUCUUUAUGGUUGAUUUUCCCUUCAUUUAUUUGUCAUCCAUGUUUUAUGUACAUAUGCAUGAUUCUGUCCUUGUAAAUGUAUGUUGCCAAAUAAUACACACACGCACACACACAAAUGAAUGUGUGCAUGUCAGCACGCAUGCAUGCGUAUGCAUGUUAUUCAUUGAUAUGUGCCACUUAUGGUAAUCCUUUCAUCAAAUUAUUUUUUUUGUUAAAUCUCACCAUCCUUUUUUUUUUUUUGAGGACCAAUUAUACACUUUUACAGGUUAAUUUGCCUAUUUUACUGCUGAACAAGAUCUUGUUACUUGUUCCUCAGGAUAUUUCUGGUGAUGAAUUGGUAAAGGCACUCCAAAUAAAAAAUAAAAUACCAAGGAGAAGGGCUCUUUCUGCAAUAGAAGACAAAGUUUUAACAAUACUUACUGAAAAAGGUUAUAUUGUCAAAGGUGAAGCUCCAGGAGAUGCUGAAGGUGUACCAGUUGCUUAUGAGGAUGAGGAUGAGGAUGAGGUAGUAGUUGUUGAUGGAGAGGUGGAUGAAGGUGAUGUUCAUAUAAAGCCGAAUUCACGGAAACCCAUUCCCUUGGUAAGGUUUUCUUAUUUUCUGGCCUUAAUGUGAUAAUUUCAAUGCUUCACUGAUUAUUGCUUUUCUGGGCAAUGAUUUUAUCUCAUGAGAUGAGGCAUGGGGCACAUAAUUAUUUUUAUUUAUUACAACCUAAUAUUUAUCUUUCCUUUUUAAUUCUACAUGUCAUUUACCGCAUUAUAACAUGGUAAGAGUCAAGGUUAGUACCCGACUAUUAACUACAUUGCAUUAUAACAUACAAAAGCACAUGCAGGCGUGCACACGUGCACACAGAGAGAGAGAGAGAGAGAGAGAGAGAGAGAGAGAGAGAGAGAGAGAGAGAGAGAGUAGUACGUACGUACUACGUAACUACGUACGUACUACGUACGUACGUACGUACGUACGUACGUUACGUACGUUACGUUACGGUUACGUACGUACGNNNNNNNNNNNNNNNNNNNNGAGAGAGAGAGAGAGAUUGUUCCCUCCAUUAACCAUGAGUCUAGCACAUGGGGCUCCUAUAGUUUCAGGUUGACCGCAUCUAUCUAUUCUCUAUUUCCAAUCAGUUCAUCAGCCUAAUUUCAGCGAAACAAAAUAUGUAGCAGCACACAAUGUGUUUGAUCUGGCUCAUAUUUUGGACACUCAUUUUCUUCAAAUGAUUUGGUAUUGACUGUUGUGUCUCUUAGUAAAUGUAGAAUCUGUAGAAUGUAAUGAGCCUGUUGGUAGCUUAGAGGUCUGGUCUAUUUGUGACUCAUAAAAGUCUUUAAGAAGGCUAUAGGUCCUUACUGGUGCACUAAAAUUAAAAAUUUAAUUUAAUUUAUAACAUGGAUUUAAGUGCUGUUCAGCAUGAUAUGAAAUGAAACUCAUAUACAUACUGAGCCAGUACCUUAAUGGCACUUGAUACUGGUAUGAUAUGGGCUGUGUUCCAGUACCUGGCAUGCUGCCGUGCAGGGCAUGCCAAACACUGGCACAGUUCAGCAUGCCACCGGCAUGAAUUAUUUCAAUCCUUGGUCUAUUAAUUGUACCAGUGGUAACUCAGCUGGUUUCUUAUUUAUUAUAUAUCUGAUGUUGGCAUUUCCUCUCAAUAAUUGUAAUAGCGGGAUUCAUUUUCUAUUUCAACUUUUCAAGUUAAGUAACUGCCUAGCUGUUGAGUGGUUCGACCUUGUUGGUGGGUGCUUUCUUGCUCAACUUUAAAAUUAAGAUAAUUUUAAUUUAUCAACCCACAUCCUUCUCUUAGUCUUGGGUUGUUGUUCAUAUUUUUGUUUAUCCUCGCCAAUCCUACUCUAGUUCCAUAUGCCAAUAUACUUUAGUAUGCAAGAUUCAGUUUUUCUCUAUAGGAUCCAAUCCUUUCUCCUUGCGUUUUCCAACCUUGUCAGAACUCCUAAAAUGAAUUGUUUUGCAUCAUUUAAUCCAUUAUUUUCUUUGUAAAUUCACAAGCAAUUUAUUUAUACUCAAUUUCAGUAUUUAGUUGGGAAUAACUAGAUAUGUGUAAAAACAAAACAAAACACUAGAAAUAAGUGAAAAUGAAGAAAGUUUAAGAAGUAAUAAUAAAAUAAACACAACUCAGGAGGAAAUAACAUAUGGUACAUUAUCUUAAAGCAUGUUAUGUUAUUUGGAUAUAUAAUUGAAGUGCUUUGAGUCUAAAGCUAUGUAAAGUUGUAAAUGAUAAUUUAAAUUUUUAAAAGAAAUGUAAACUUUGAAAACUAUUGAAAUAUAACAAAAUAUACAAGUUAAACAGUGUUUAGAAAUCACUAUACAGUAUAAUAUAGAAAUUGUUUCUACAGCAUAAAUAUUGUUUGAUUUUAAUCUAACAAAUAUGCGUGGUCUUAUUAACACUUAUAAUCGCUGUUAUGUCUGAGCACUGGCAGCUUAACGAGAGUCAUGCUAGAAAUACAACUCACCUCAUUAUUGAUUUGCAACGCAAAUGGGAAAAAAAAUCCACACCUAUGUUUUUGAGCUACACCUUUAAAAGCAUCGAAAGAAGGACCAUCUUUUUGGAGAUCUCUAAUUGAUACAUCCAGUAAGUGCAAAAACUGUGCGCAUUGGGCCAGUGUGCUAAAUACAUGAUACGGCAUUUUAGUUGAGAAUCAACUAUGUUCAUCAUGAUCUGUACAUCUCAAAAUAUGUAUAGAUUGAAAAUUGAUGGAUUUCGAUGCUUUGAUCAUAGCAGAACUUCAUAUCAUUUUAUUAGAGCCAUCCAUUUUUUGCAUGCACUUGAUGCAUAGGUAGAGACCACAAACCACAAAGAUGUAUGAUUUUUGCUUUCUAGGUACUUUUAGUGGUAUGUAUCACAAUCAAACAGUGCAGCUCUUCAAUUUGGAGGUUUUAUCAUCGAUUUUGAGUUGUUAAUCUCUUACCAAAGAUUUCACAUUUAAUGUUUAGUAUAACCCAAAAAGUUCUCUCUUUCUCUCCGAUUUUGUUACCCAAAAUGUAUGCCUUUAUCUGUCUUUCUUACUACUUCCCUUUUUGUUUUUUCAUUAUGUUCAGCUUUUUGGAAUCUGGGACAUCCCACUUUUGACUCGUUUAUCUCCCAGGGAUAUAUGUUCCUUCUCUAGCGCAUAAGAUAUGCUUGUAUUUGUUUAUUCUAGUUAAAGCCUGGUGGUGUAACAAACUUUAUUCACUUGUAAAACAUUUUAUCACUCAAUAUGGCACUCGUAUCGAUCUGCUUGUGUGUGCUAUCUAUCUUAAUCCACACUUCAUGCUUUGCGGCAUCAGAAUUCUUUCUUUCAUGUCUUUUCUUAUCAACUUCCUGCGUAAAACUUUUAGCAAAUUAUUUGAUCUAAACCCUGUACAUAUGCUCUACUGUCUGAUUUCCUUUUAGAUAUUUCAACAUUUAACUUGAGUUAUUUCAUGUCCCAACCUAUGCAAAAUUCCUAUGCCAUAACUCAUGGAUAUUCCAAAUUUGGUCCUGUUUAUUUUUAAGAUGGACCCUCCCUAUUGUCCAAAGUGGUUAGUGGAAAUUGUUGAAAAGCAGAAAUUUCACUUGUACAUGAAAUUUUUGGUCGGAGAAGUUAAUAUAUUGUAGAAAAUAUGUUUUUCAAUAAAACUUCAUUAAUUCUGAGAACACAAAAUGGACUCCAGAGAAUAAAUAAGUUGGGAUAAAUGUUGAGUUGAUAACUAUUAUUCACUAAGGAAUCUUCAUUAAAAAAGGAGUAUCAUGGAUAAUGACAAUCAUGGUACGCGAUACUAUACCGAACUGGGCGGUACCGGGCAUACUGUACCGUACCGGUUCGGUACUGGUACAUGAUAUGGGGGUGUACAAAUAUUCGAUAUGCCGAACUAGCCCUCGUACCUGGCAUACGGAUACAGUGACUGGGUGGCAUCAAUACAGGGCCCAAUACCAAGGCGGCGUACCUUAAUAACAAUAAUAUUUUAUAACUCGACAAUUGAUGCAUUCUAAAGAAUCUCCACCUUCUAGUUAUUUCGAUACUCAUGUUUUUUCUCUCUUCAAUCUAGGGAAGGAUAUGUUGGGGUUUUAACAUAGAUGUUACUCAGGUCAUAUAAUUUCCCUUAUAAAUGUUUUGACCCUGACGAAGCGCCUUUUUGCCAUUUUGCCACUUUACAACACCCAUAGCCAAUAUGUAAUCUUCAACAAAACAAUCUGUCACAUAUCUUCUUAAACACCUACUAGACAAAUAUGUGGUUCUGCUUGAUUCACCAUGCAGUGGUUGAGAGAGGUCUCAAGCUAGAUGUGAUCAGCCUUGCUUUGAUGUCUGACAAGAUUUUUGUAGUUCUAACUAGUUUUGCCUUUCCAUGCAUUUGUAUCCUAAAUGUAAAUUAUCUUUUUGAGUUAAACGAAAUCAUUAUUCAUCUUAUUUAUGACUUCCUUCUUUGACACGGAGAACUCUGACAUGUUAAUUCACUGCAGCUAUCAAUGGUACUCUUGCAGUUAAUAUUAAAAGGUUCUGAGAAUUGCUCUGCCUUAGUUUCUUAUAACCUUGUUUUAUAAUGGAGAGAAGUCUCAACACCAUCCUUCGUGAGUUAAAGUUGGGCAAUUCAUAGAUUUUCCAUCCCUACUUUACUAAGCUUCAUUGUUAUUUCUAAGCUACCAGAUUAUGGAUUUGUACUCAUGAACUUUAGUCUUAUAAUACAAUUUUAUUGGUCGGAAGUACUAUAAAGUUGAUUAUAUAUCUGACAUAUGUCGCCUUUUUCUCAUGUAGUUAUUUUCUGAAGUGGAUGUGAAGUUGGUCUUCAAGGAAGUGACGUCCAAAUUUUUGCGCAAGCGUAUUGUGGAGGUAAGCAAUGGCCAAUGUUGUAGCAUUACAUCACCAUGAAGUGUUCCAGUUUCAUAGAUAUCUUACACUGCUUGUCUUGAGCUUGUAUGGAGCAGGCUGGUUUGUACUAUGUUUUGCACCAUUGACCAAUACAAUUGUCAGUCAGUAAACUUUUGUAGAGACAUGCCACACUUUCUUUAAGAUAGCAUAUUCAUGCAGAAAUUUGCCUCUUGAUAAUGCAUCGGUAUGUUAAUCUGCUGAGAAUUACUGGUUCUAUACUGAUUCUCCGAAUUCUUUCUUUAUGUGGCUGUGGUAAUUCAAUAGAUGCAGCUCUUAUCAAAGGUGCAUGCCCUGUUGUCUUUUUAUGCACCACCAAGAUGUUUAGGUUCUCAUAUCCAUUUUCCAAAGCAUAUAAUCUGGUGGAUGUGAUCAAAUUUUUGAAUACAAAUCAAUGCACCAUGUCUUCUACUCCGUAUUGUCUUUUUCCUCAGGUUAAAUUCAAAUUGGAUGAGAUUUGAAAUUAUGGAGUGAAAGAGAAAGAAGCAAAGAAGAAUAAAAAUGGGAGAUGAGAAGAGAGGAGAAGAAGGAAUGCAGGGAGAAUAAAAAUGUGAGAAAUGAGAAUUGUCUAAGAGAUUAAUUCUGUUCUCUUCUCGUCCCUAAUCCUUUUGUUUUAGGAUUUUGCUAUAAUGUGAAGAUAGACAUCCUUCUAAUUUUAGGAGGCAUUAUACAAUCAUUACUAAUAAGAAACAACUAUAAUUGAUUAAUCAUGCAACACAAAUAAGGAAAAAAGAAAAAAACAACAUGGUAAAGAAAGAAAAGAUUUCUUUGUCUACACAUCUAUUUUUAAUUUUGUGAAUUGUAAAUUUGAUCUUAAGGGUUAUAAGUUCUGGUACCAUUACUCAUAAUGGUUGGGGUCUUGGGUUAGGUCCGAUUGUCAUCAGACCAUUUGGUGGAUCGAUGAUCAUGCCCACCCUUGGAUCGUUACAUCUUGGAUAGAUGGAGAGACCAGGUGUUAGUUGGGCUUGACUUGAGGAAACAAAAUGAAUUGGAGAAAAUGAGUUGAGUUCUGCCUCUCCCAUCAUCGAGUCACUUUCCCUCUUUUCUCUCUAAACCUAAAGCUUAGCCCUCUUCUCUUUGAUGGGCCCCAUCUUAGGAACAUUCGAAGUGCCAUUGUUGGCUUGUGAGCAAGGUUCGCCGUCUCGGUAUCGGACUCCAUACCAGUGCCACACUAGCAUAGUGUCGGUAUGGUAUGGUACAGAUUUUUUUUAUACCGAGUGUCGGUACGCCACCCGUACCGAGUACCAGUACCGAACCGGUAUGGUACGGUACAUUCCAUACCGUCCGGUUUAGGCCGGUACGGCAUGCCAUGCUUGUGAGUGCCAUUUUUCUUCCUUUUGUUGGCCACCGGUGCCUGUCCUGGGUUAUCCUUCCAUCAAGAUUCUCAAUGCAGCCAUUUUCUUACUCUUUACUGCUUGUUGGAGCCUGCCCCAUGCCAUCCAUCACCGAGAUCCUCACUGGAGCCCCUUCCUUCGCUUCAUUGAUAUUUUUGAUUCAAGAAAUAGGUAAAGGUGGCCAUGAAUAAGGUGAAUACUGAUACAGUUAUGUUGCAUAUAGGAUGUAAACAAAGGACUUACAGCUGCUGUCAAAUUCAAUAAGCUAAAUGUAAAUUUAAAAUAUUGGGUGUUCUUAACAGCAUUCAAUGCCUGUAAACAAAAGUAUAUGUUGUGCAGCCUCUUGACUUUGCCUCAAAUUAUCCCACAUCAAUAUUUAUAGUGUUACGAUAUAAUGUGCUGAGUUAUAGAGGGUUUGAUGCAUAGACAAGUAUGUCUGCAAAAUAUUCUACUUUUGGUAUGGAUGCAUGUUAUACCUGCAAAUCAUAUUCAACGGUCUAGAUUUCUGUUUUGCAACUCUGAUCAUUGAAUUUGAUGCUGGUCGUAGACUCCUAUUUUGACCGCUAUGUCUUUUGUAUCUCACCCAUAUUGGGUGCAGCCAUAAUACACAAAGGGUUUAAAAGUGAGGACAUAAUACAUACUACAAAAUUCAAUGAUCUAAGUUGCAAAAUAAAAAUCUAAACCUUGGAUAUGCUCUAUAAAUUCUGAAAUAUCAUGUAGUAAUGUUACCUCUUGUUUUGCAUCAAAUCCUCCCAAAUAUAUGGUUCUUAUGGCAUGAUAUAAUUUUUUGAUUUCAGGGCAACCUGAUGUAUAGGCUAGGAGUGCAGAAACAAAUUAUCUUUUAUACAUAGGCAUUUUAAUUUUAUUAGACCAUUUCCAAUGGUUUAUAAUUUUAUUUUUCAAACCUUAAUUUUUAUAGUGGCACAAAAUCGUCUCUUUACACCCCAUGUGUAUUAUAACUGCACCUAUAUAUGUAUGUAUAUGUAUGGACGCAUGUGAGCAACCACUAAGAAAUUUGACUCUUGUCAAUUCCAUGGGAUGAUUUGAAUUCUGAAUUCUGAUGAUACCGAUUUGAACCAAUAUUGUUAACGACAACAUCUGAUCUAUCAAAUCAAUUCAUCGUUGAAAUCGGGUAUUCCAAGAUACGCCAUCUCAGUACCGGGCCUGUACUGGUGCCAUCUUGUUACUAUAUCGGUACGCCUGGUAUGGGAGCUGGUUCGACGCACUGAGUGUCGGUACGUCCCUCCGUACUGUGUACAGGUACCGAAUCAGUACGCUAUGCCCCGUACCACUUGGUUCGGUACGGUAUGGCAUACCAUGGAUAUUUACCUUUCUUAUGAACGAUUAGAUCAAUGGCUUUAUUUGAUCUAAUACCUGAAUUCAGACCUGAAACAAAGCAAUGGAUAAGAUAUAUUCUUUCUUUCUUCAGUAGAAAAGAAGAUUUUCAGUAUUAGUUUUUCAUUCAUCUUAAAACCUGAAUAAUUUCAGUAGUCAUAUGGGAUAAAAUGGCUUGUGAUUUGUUCAUGUAUGUGAACAUUUGUGGAAAAAUAAUUUCAUAUUUAUCUGUUUUAUCUUCUUCAUGGACUUCUUUUAUGUUUUUUUCUUCAAGUAAGAUGUAUCAUUGUUAUCCCAUAUUAUGCUUCUGGCUGAUUAUGGUAGUUAUAAGUUUCCGGCUCAACUUCCUUUUACUUUGUGCAUACAUUUUCUUUUUUCCUUGUAUAUUUGGCACCGGGAAACUUAUUCCAUUGAAAGUAUCAUCAUAUUUGACUCAGGAAAGCCAGCAUGAGUCAACCUUUUGCGUUCCUUGACAGCUGGCACCAUCAAUCCAUAAAUUUUGGAUAUGUCAUUCAGCCUAUAAUAGUAGGCUAAACAUCAAUAAAUUACAUUAUAGCCACAUGUUGGUAUUCUAAUAAGAUUGUAUUUGCACACGUUCCAUAUCAGGGUGGAAAACGAAGCGAUGGACGAAACCCUCUAGAGAUUCGUCCAAUUAACUCACAAUGUGGAGUACUUCCUAGAGCACAUGGGAGUGCACUUUUCACACGCGGUGAAACACAGGUGAGGAGAUUUAAAUUUUUAGCAUCACCAAACUAGGAAAUUCAGUGCUUUUCAUAGUUCAUAUUUAUUUUUUAAACUUAUCUUUUCAUGUCAUUUGCAUAUUUCCAAUUGAGACAUUAAGUUUUAAGUUUUGUCAAUUAUGUAAUUUAACUCGUACUAUCAAUGAAAGGAAAACUGAUGUUCAAAUUUAUGGUUCAAAGGGGAAUCUGCUGGUUAGUUAACACAAGAAGUUGGGCCAAGUUGUAGCAAUGUGUAUCUCUUGGUUUUCUUUUCUUUUCUUUCCUUUAUUUUCAUCUAAAAUAUCUUAUGAAUUCUAUGAUUGUUUUGAAGCAUGUUAGCCAAAAUAGCAUAUUUUAAGAUUUCUUUCUUAUGGUGAUUUUCAGUGUUGAAUAUAAAGCUUCUUUGUUGAAACGUUAUCAGAUUCCUUAAAUAUUUAGAGAUAAUACAUAUUCUUGGCAAGCAAUAUGCUAGUACAAAUCUUCUUACUAUGCUGUAUUUUUCCAUAUUUUUCAACAAUUAUCUGGAUACUAACCGUUUGAACUUUUUAUGGCUCCAUGUCAUCUACUCUCUAUGCAUGAUAGAUUUACCUUAUGCUAUCAUUUUCUUUUCAAUAAAGGAAUGCAAAUUAUAUAUGGUGGUUUAUGUGGAAAGUACUUGCAUAUAUGACCACUUUAUUGCUUCUGCCCUCAACCAUUAAUAUCUGUUAUUUAGUUGGCAAAUGUCUACAAAUCUUUCUUGCAUGUUUGCAUUCCUUUUAUGUGUUUGAUAUAUUCUUGUGGAGUUAUACAUCCGCUACGACCAAAAAUAUGCAAUUUCUAUGUAUCUGCUAGUAAAGCAGGCUAACUUUGGAGGAAGUUUGUGUAUUGAAAUAUUUUUUACCACUUUAUACUAUGAAAACUUCCUCUAAUGAACUGAUAUAAAUAGUACUUCCAAGGUACCUUUUUGCAUGUUCUUGUUUCCGCAAACUUGAGCCAAGUGCCCGACGUAUAUGAAUUUGACUCAGCCCACAUGGCCUCAGCUCGUGAAUGUAGUUGCUGCAUAACCAUAUUAUCAUCUCAGCAACUGAUCAUAGAACACCUCUUUAGUUUUAGUAUGUUAUGAAGAUUAAAAGCUGGAUGCCUUAUCCAAAUGCUCCUCCAUAGGCUCAAGGUCAAGGUAUUAAUUAAAGUCCUGUGAGAGAUCAUAAACUUGAGAAUUUUUGGUAAAAAAGUGGGGUACCGACACUCGGUACGCCAAAAAAUUAAUACCAUACCGUACUGAUAUUGUGUUAGUAUGACAACCGUACGAGGUCCGGUACUGAGACGGCGAACCUUGGACUUGAGUGUUUUUUUUCCUUAGGUUGGUAUCCGACUUUUACACUAAUUAGUACAACAUUCUUUUCUAUGAUUACUUUAUCAUCAUCUAUCUUUUGUUUCACUGAGAUGAACGCUAAAACCUUGAGUGUCUUGAACAAAAAAGAAAGUCAAUUAUAUACACUACUAUGUUUGACAUGUCACAUGCAAAUGGAUAUUUUUUACAUUGAAAUUCUGGCAAAUAUAAUUAAAAAUUGUUCUGGUGAUCUCAGUUCUCUGGAAAUAUACAUUAAAUAUAGGGUUACUGGUGUUACUUUGAUUGUGAAAUAUUCUUUAUUUUGUAGUCACUUGCUGUGGUUACUCUUGGAGACAAACAAAUGGCACAAAGGAUAGACAACCUUGUGGACACAGAGGAGUUAAAAAGAUUCUAUCUUCAGGUAUGUUUUAGGAUUUCUUAUGUUAAAUUUAGUAUGUACGUCUCCCCAAAUAAUAGAACCAAUAUAUUGCAAUUAAAUAGUUAUUUCCCAUAUUUUUAGUAAAUAUUCCGUUAAUAAGGCAAAUGACAUUUGUCAGCAAUUUAAUUGUUUCACCGCACCAUUCUUAAUUGUCAAUCUUGUCUAGCCAAAUGUGUCUGGUAUUGAAUGAUUUUAGUAAUUUUCGGUUACAUUUGCAAAAACACAUGAAAAUAUUCAGUUUGGCAUGAAAUUUCAUAUUUUGACUAAAUGCAUAUAUAAAUUAUCAAUGGUUGAUGUUUUUACAGAGGGGAUGAGUAGCUAUUUGCAAGCUGAAUCCACGGGAUUUGCUCAGCAUUUAAGAUGGGAUCUAGUGAAAGUAAUUUACUGUUGGAUGGCAUCAGUAUCACAUAGUUAAAGUCAAUAAUUAAGUAACUACAAAUCUGAAUCAUAUCUUAGGUGAAAAUAUAAAUAUUUUUAUUGUCAAAGAGUGUUGUUGUGGUCUGCCAAUUUUGGGUUUUUGGAAGUGCAGACACUUUAUAUAUGUCACCACUCUAUCACAAAACCGUGCUUUGAUGCUUUUUGCCAUCAUGACAAUGUCAUCAUCAUGUGCUUAGACUUGCAUUAAUGCAGGAGCAAUAGGUGGGGUCAGCAUGUGUGCAGUGGUGGAUGUAAAGGGACGGAAUCCUAAGCUUAGGUUCAAAAUUACUUGCUGUCCAAUUUGUGAUAACAAUUGCAGGACAUGGUAGAGGGCCUUGAACCUGCCCUAAUAGUUAAAAAUUUGGGAGGAGUCCUAGGAAAGGGAUUCUAAAGAUUUUAAUGCUAAUGGAGUUGGUUCAAUGUUGAUCAAAAUGAAAAUUCUGGUCAUCCGUAGUUGUGACAUUUCUUUCCGUUUUUCAAGAAAUCAUGUCUAUGAGUGCAGAUUUGAAUGGAUGGUGAAUUCAAAGUUAAAAUUAUUAAUGAUUUGUUGGCUAUCUUCUACUGGUUACAAUAGUUCAAAGAGGCCUGAGAAUUAUUUCAUAUAUGCUCAGAUUGAGCGUAGUCACUAACAACAGAUAAGGAAGAACAGUACAAGUAAAAGACUUGUCAAAUAAUGGGGAAACACUAGUUUAGAUAAGGAAAGUUACAGAAGGAAAUAAUAUAAGAGGGAGAACAGUGACAUUUUGGUUUCUCUUUCUGUUCCUUGAGCAAGAACAGCUUUGAAUUCUUCUAAAUUCAUUUUCUGCAUGAACCCUUAUUUAUGGAGAACAAGAUUGCUAGGAAUUAGGAAACAAUGUUUUCUAGUCUAAAUGAACUCUUAAGACUUUCUCAAAAUUGUUUGACUCCCCAAGACACUUGUCUCCCACCUAAUACUCCAUGAUAUCCUCAACUUUCAGAAUAGUAACCAAAUAAAAGAAAACAAAAUUUACCUUGAGUUGGGAGUCCAAAGAGGACUACUAAAAACUCUCAAAAUUACUAAAACUUCCAAUGAAAUCUCUCCUUACAAAUGCGGAGCAAGUCAUCUCCUAUGCUGGGCAGAAUCUGGAUCAUGUGAUGCUUUUGAAAUGCAAACACUUUUCAUUGACAUCCGUAGCAGCAACUAAAUGAGCUUUAGGUUUGUGUUCUUCAACCACACUAUUUCAUGACGAAGAUGGGCUGUUAUUUCCAAACCUUGCUUUUAAAUCAUUUUUUUUGUGUACAAAUUGUUGUGUAUAGUAGGCCAAUACACCACAUUUGGCAUUAAAGAUGCUACUUCACUAAUCAUUUUGUCAUCUUCAUGCUAGGUGUUGGAGAAUGAGCAAACGAUGAUUCUGUUGAAAAUACUUCAUCUUUCACAUCCUCACUUGCAUCUGUGUUACUCUCUUUUCACUUCAAGAGGACGGCUUCUUUAGUCUUCUUUAAGACUUGCAUUGGUUGUGGCUUUGACUUUGUUGAGAAAGGUCAUAUGCCUGUAGGGGCACUGGCCAAAUCUUGCAUGUUCGUAGCUUCAUAUUUUGACUCCAAGCAUGAAUUUCUCUUAUGACCUGCUCUGCACACCUGAUGUAUGUACUUGCUUACUGCUUGCUGUAUUUGAAGCCAAUGGUUCCUAACUUCAGCUCAUCUCCAACACAUGGCUAUUUUGAUUUGAAGUAUCUUUCUCAUGGUGCAUUCACAACAUUUCUUUUGUUCAAAUCAUCUUCCAUCUUGUUUGUAACUUGACUUGCAUCUGUCAUUUUGCAUAAUCUUCUAGCUAUAGACACCCCCUACUUCCAAUAACGAAGAAUAUCUUGUUCCAAUUUAAAGGCUAGAACCCUAGCUCUCACAUCUUAUCCCUAUAUCCUGUGUUCUAAAUCACCCCAAUCUCAUUCUUAAUAAUUCCUAUUUUUCUAUUUUUUGUGCCCCCAUUUAUCUCUAAUAAGGCUCUAGAGAAUUCUUAAUUAGCUUCUAACCCCACACAAAUCAAUUCCCCCAGGCAGCGAAGCAUGCUCACACUUAUAAAUCUACAGUUAGCACCAAACUGUACCAUGUCGAGUUCCUCUUAUUGUAUAAAGCACGCCCAUAUUCGAAGCCUAUUUUCUUCCCGAUUUCCUCGCUCAGAUGUAUGCAGAAAUCCAUAAAUUUCUAGCACCUAAUAUUACACCUCAUUGAACAUUUGUUACUCUCAUCCUCAUUUUCCCCUAAUCUUUCUCCUCUAAUAGAUCUCUGCAUAUAUUAUAUCAACAAGCUACAUUGGACACGUCAUGCACGCACAAGCACACCUUGUCCCUUCUAACAACCCUCGUGCAUAUAUAUAUAUGCACCUAGCCUUGCACCCACAUCACACCCUAGGAAGGCAUAGGACACUUGUCACACUCAUGUGCACUCCUAGACAAAAAUUUCUAGAAGGCCCCUACGCGCACCUAUCUUAACCUCCUCUUGCUAUUUGUCCCUCUCCAAUUCAUGUUGCUUCCUACACCAUCUUCUUCCUUAUAUGAAAAGAGAAGAAUAUUUGAUCUCUACUAACUGUGCAUCCUCUCCAAGCUAGAUCUGUACCAUACACUAGCUUUGUAUACAUGUUUCAUGUUUGGCUCUUCAGACCAUCAUAGUUCUUGCCAUCCUAUCCUCUUUCUCUCACAAAUCUCAACAAUGCUAUUGUAUCUAGCCCUAGUAUUCUAUUAGUUUCUCUACCCCAGAUAUCUUAAAACUAACCAACAUGCCAUCAAGAUUAUUUCCCCUUAACUCUCUGUGAGUCUCUAAAUCUCGUGCUUGUGCUUUUAAUCCUUGCCAUCCAACAUUCAUGGGAAACAAAAGAACCCUUUGAAAGCUAAUCAUGUGUGGUCCACUUUAUCAAUUCAUGACAACCCUCAUUUAAUCACAAGCAAAGUUCGCCGUACUGGUACCGGACCUCGUACCGGUGCCGCACUAGCAUAGGCGUACUGAGUGUCGGUAUGGUAUGGUACGUGGUUCGCCAGGUGUACUGUCACUGCAUAUCGGUACCGGUACGGUAUGCCCGGUAUCGACGGGUACCGACUGGUACAGCAUACCAUGAUCACAAGCCUUCGUAUCACCAAUCACCAUGACCUUAUAUCUAAGGAGUCUUUUAGAAGCAUCCAUCAUAGUUAUUCAUGAUACUGUUACUCCUUUAUGAAUACCCCUAAUUCUGCACCCAAACCGAAGAUUAAAUUGGAACCUUAGAGGAGACAACCAUUUUAGAGAGCCAUCUUUAUGAGCUUCUUGUCCUCCCCAUCUUCUCUUACAUCCAUUCCGAGCUUAGCCUCCACUGCCACCAUCUCUUUUAACCUCUCGACCACCCAUCUAGCUGCUAAGGAAAACAAGAUCCACCAAGCCUCCUUACUUGGAGUUUUCCCCUAAGUGAAGACCUGAUACUAAGGAGGGUGGUAGGAGCAAGUAGUCUAUGAUGGCCAAAGUAAUUCUAUGCUCAUUACCACCACUAUCCUUUCUCAUCUUUUGCUUUCUUUUUUUAAUGUUUUUCUGCUAUUUUCAGAUAUAUAUUGAUCCUUUUUUUCUUUUAAGGAUGAGCUCUUUUACACCUUAAAUCAAACUUAAGAACCUCAUUGGUAACGGGGGAUGGGCAGUGAUUAAAAUACUACUUGAUUUAGUACUAAUCGCUUGGUUUGUACUGAUUGAGCCCCUCUCAAUAUAGGGAGGCUUGGUUUGGGAAGGGAUUGGACGAACUGACCCCAAACUGACCAUAGAUCGAGUGAUUUAAGAGGAGUGGGGGGAGUAGGGCUUACUGCCCUUGGUUCAGCUUUGGAAUUGAGCGGUAUUGCUUGAUUGAGCUUUGGAUAAAAUUUAUGGGCCUUUUUCUUUUUAUUUUACUCCAUUCAGCUGAAAAGAAAGAGAGGGAGAGGACAUAGUCUUGUAGGAGGGUUUCAAGCAAGGAUUCAAGCUUGGAUUUAGCCGCUUUUCGACACCAAAUUAUUUUAUUCAAGAAAUGAACUCUCUUUCCUCCCAUUUUUAAAAUGGAAUAAUCUAAAGAUAAAUUAUUGAUUGCUACAUUGAGUUAAAACAUUAACAAAAUUUUAUCUAAAUCUCAUUUGAUUCUUGGAUUCAUGCAUUUAGGUAUGAAUCGAGGAUCAAAUUCUAGAAAUUUGUGGAUUUUGGGUUGAAGCCCGAAACAUAUGCUCGAAAUCCAUGUAAAUUUGAAAUUGACUUGAGAAAAUAGUUUGUUUGGGUUCUUUGUGGGAUAUGUUCUAGAAAAUGAGAGAGGGUGUGUAGUAUUGGAAGACUAUUGUUUUUGAGCUAUUAUUUCUCAAAAAAAUAAUUUUCAUAAAUAAUUUUGAAAAAGUAAAUUAAAAAAAUUUGGGAAAAAAUUGGCAGCAUGUUUGCAUUGUUGCUGUGCACGUACUAUCAAAUUCUCAACAUUUACCUGAGUGGUACUUUAGUUCCGUCUCAGCUUAAGCCCAAAAUUUCCUAAAUUUAAAAUUGACCCAACAAAAUUAUUAGUGUUCAGGUUGUUUUUUUUAAUGAUUUAUGUAUUAGGCAUAUUUAUAGAAGCUCUUAAUUAAAAUUAUUUUUUUUGAUUAUUUAAAUAUAAAAAUAAUUUAGACUUAAUUAUUUACAGAAAUAUUGAAAAUUUUAUGGUUUUGAGAAAAUUAUACAUACUAUGUUAGAUAAUUGUUGACUAACUUCUAACAUAGAUAGUGCAUUUUUUCUAAUAAAUUUAUUUUAUUAAUUUUUAUUUUAAUUAAUUAAAAAUAUAUAAAAAGUUUAGAAGCAAAUUGUUAAUUAGAAGAUACAUUGAUGCUCCUAUGCAUGUAAUUUGUAUGCACCAAUGAGGUGCUUAAAAUGAGCUUGCAUUUCAACUCAGGCUGCAAUAGUUUCGGAAAGUUAAGAAAAUUGUUAAAAAAGUUUUGCUAAAUAAGUUAACACCUACUCUCUGUUGUAGCUUGUAGCUGAUGAUUUCUACGAACCUAUUUUCUUUUCAAUUGAUAAUUUUAACACAUGUUUUAAAUGUAUUUAAGAUUCCAAGUUAUCUAGCUUGUAUGAUAAAUAUGCAUACUGUUGACAUCAGCAUGCAUAGAAAACGACAACUUGAGCACUUAACUCGAUACUCCCACCUUAUUCUGUGAAAAACAUUACAAUAAAAGAAAACAUGAUAAAAAAACCCAAAAAUCAGAAUUUGGAUGCCAAAAAACGUCAUACCAAUAUGUUUGAGGGUGUAAUUGUGCAUACCUAUCGAUACCUUUCUUGAUAUGAUCCUUAAUAUGCUGCAUGUUGCACCUAUUGUUGGUCAGCAUGAGUGCGAGCCUCGGUAUUUCGAUCCUUGGGUAAGGAUGCACUAUCUUGUUGUCCCCUACCUUAAAUCCUGAACCCUCACCUUCACCCUCACCCUUAACAUGGUAUCUUCGGUCCCUUUGAGCUAGCUAAUAGCCUAUGUGUUGCCCAGUAGAUACAACCCAAGAGGGGGGGUGAAUUGGGUCUUUUAAAACUUUUAUGCUACUUCUAAAACUUUUUGAUUAACUAUGCUAAGUUGUAUAGAUGCACAGUGAAAGUUAAACUUAGCAAGGUUUUGAUGUAUAGACUUCGACUUGAUUAAAUAUGCUUGCAACUAAAGGAUGUGCGGAUAAGAAUUAAGCAAGCAAUUUAUCCAAGUAAGUAAGUGUGUUAGUUAGACAAUAACUAGAGGCAUUACAAACACAAAGGACAUAUAGUGGUUCGGUGCACCCCAGCACCUACAUCCACUCCCCAAGACCUCUUGGGUACUCAUUUCCACCAUCAUGUGUUGGUGAAGUCGGGCGCAUGGGAGCACCCAGUAGGAGGGAGAUUGGUCAUGGAAUGCUAGCUGAAAGAGCACUGGAGCCCAUUUUGCCUUCAGAAGAGGAUUUUCCUUACACUAUUCGUGUUGAGAGUACCAUUACUGAAAGUAAUGGCUCUUCGAGCAUGGCAUCUGUAUGUGGAGGUUGCUUAGCACUUCUAGAUGCUGGAGUUCCUGUCAAGUGCUCUGUUGCUGGGAUAGCAAUGGGUAUGGUCUUGGACACGAAGGGAUUUGGGGGAGAUGGAACUCCUCUCAUUCUCUCUGAUAUCAGUGGAUCUGAAGAUGCUUCCGGAGAUAUGGAUCUUAAGGUUGCUGGUGAUGAGAAUGGUAUCACUGCCUUCCAGAUGGACAUUAAGGUUGGAGGAAUUGCUCUUCCAGUGAUGGAGCAAGCACUUCUUCAAGCAAGAGAUGGUCGAAAACGUGUUCUAUAUGAAAUGUUGAAGUGUUCACGACCACCAUGUAAGAAACUCUCCAAAUAUGCUCCAUUGAUUCAUGUUAUGAAGGUCAAACCUGAGAAAGUGAAUCUUAUUAUUGGUUCUGGUGGAAAGAAGGUGAAAAGCAUCAUAGAGGAGACUGGGAUUGAAGCUAUUGAUGCCCAAGAUGAUGGCAUGGUUAAAAUUACAGCGAAGGACUUGUCAAGCUUAGAGAAGUCAAAAGCGAUCAUCACCAAUCUUACAAUGGUUCCAACAGUGGGUGAUAUAUACAGGAGCUGUGAGAUCAAAUCAAUAGCACCUUAUGGAGUUUUUGUUGAGAUUGCACCAGGACGUGAGGGACUAUGUCAUAUUAGCGAGCUGAGUUCAAACUGGUUGGCAAAAGCUGAAGAUGUAUUUAAAGUUGGAGACCGUAUUGAUGUCAAACUU
rnacentral:lncRNA from 1 species